rnacentral:rRNA from 1 species
AGAGUUUGAUCCUGGCUCAGAUUGAACGCUGGCGGCAGGCUUAACACAUGCAAGUCGAGCGGGGGAGGUUGCUUCGGUAACUGACCUAGCGGCGGACGGGUGAGUAAUGCUUAGGAAUCUGCCUAUUAGUGGGGGACAACAUUCCGAAAGGGAUGCUAAUACCGCAUACGCCCUACGGGGGAAAGCAGGGGAUCUUCGGACCUUGCGCUAAUAGAUGAGCCUAAGUCGGAUUAGCUAGUUGGUGGGGUAAAGGCCUACCAAGGCGACGAUCUGUAGCGGGUCUGAGAGGAUGAUCCGCCACACUGGGACUGAGACACGGCCCAGACUCCUACGGGAGGCAGCAGUGGGGAAUAUUGGACAAUGGGGGGAACCCUGAUCCAGCCAUGCCGCGUGUGUGAAGAAGGCCUUUUGGUUGUAAAGCACUUUAAGCGAGGAGGAGGCGCUCUAGGAUAAUACCCUAGAUGCGUGGACGUUACUCGCAGAAUAAGCACCGGCUAACUCUGUGCCAGCAGCCGCGGUAAUACAGAGGGUGCGAGCGUUAAUCGGAUUUACUGGGCGUAAAGCGCGCGUAGGUGGCUAAUUAAGUCAAAUGUGAAAUCCCCGAGCUUAACUUGGGAAUUGCAUUCGAUACUGGUUAGCUAGAGUAUGGGAGAGGAUGGUAGAAUUCCAGGUGUAGCGGUGAAAUGCGUAGAGAUCUGGAGGAAUACCGAUGGCGAAGGCA